rnacentral:lncRNA from 13 species
UCUCUUCCUUGGCAUAAAUCAGGAAAGGAAAAAUUCAACCUUUUGCUAAUUUGUGUAGAACUUUGAUGAUAAUUUGCCUGGAGACAUUUAAGUAGUGCAACAUGAAAUAACAGAAACUAAAAUUAAUGGAGCUGGAAUGGGAUUGCAUUGUGCGGGGCCCCCACAUAUGGUUACAAUUCGGCGUUUCCUCUGUAUCUGACAGGAUCCUCACAGAAAGAAUGCUUCUGAGGAACUGCUACUGCACCCACCAUGAAGGCACGGAGAAGAAAUUGUCUGUUCACCAUUCUUUCUCCUCCCAUGGACAGAGUGAUGGGAGAAUGGAAGAACAAAGAAAACCUGAAAUCUACAAACUGGCUUCAGAAUGGGAAGAAAAAGUUUUCUCAUGGUUACAUAGUACCACUUGAGCAAGGAGCAAGGAGAACUGUGAGGACCUGAGUCAACCCUGACUCAUCCACUGGUUCCUGAGAGGGCAUUCAUCCCCAGCAGCAAUCCAGGUACAUUGUGCAGGCACAUGCUCCUUCCUGGGAAGGGCAACAACAAGGGGAGUUGUCUUGUGGUUGCUCACAUUCAUUCGCUGCCUCACCCGACUU